rnacentral:rRNA from 1 species
UACGUAGGAGGCGAGCGUUGUCCGGAGUUACUGGGCGUAAAGCGCAUGCAGGCGGUCGUCAAAGUCUGUGAUGACAGUCUCCGGCUUAACUGGGGAAGUGUUAUGGAUACUGGAUGACUUGAGGGCUUCAGAGGGAUGCGGAACUCCGGGUGGAGUGGUGAAAUGCGUAGAUAUCAGGAAGAACACCCGUGGCGAAGGCGGUUCUCUGGGACGGUACUGACGCUGAGACGCGAAAGCGUGGGGAGCGAACAGG